rnacentral:tRNA from 147 species
GGCCCGGUAGCUCAGUCGGUAGAGCAGAGGAUUGAAAAUCCUUGUGUCGGCGGUUCGAUUCCGUCCCAGGCCACCA